rnacentral:rRNA from 1 species
AACGAACGCUGGCGGCAUGCCUAACACAUGCAAGUCGAACGAGAGCUUCGGGUCUAGUGGCGCACGCGUCCGUAACCCGUGGGAACCUGCCCUUAGGUUUGGCAUAACUUCCCGAAUGGGGUGCUAAUACGGGCUCUUGUCCCCGGUCCGAAGUUUUGUCGCCUUUGGAUGGGCGCGCGUGGGAUCAGCUAGUUAGUAGGGUAAAACGCUACCAAGGCGACGAUCCAUAGCUGGUUUGAGAGGAUGAUCAGCGACACUGGGACUGAGACACGGCCGGGACUCCUGCAGGAGGCAGCAGUGGGGAAUAUUGGACAAUGGGCGAAAGCCUGAACCAGCAAUGCCGCGUGAGUGAUGAAGGCCUUAGGGUUGUAAAGCUAUUUUACCCGGGAUGAUAAUGACAGUACCGGGAGAAUAAGCUCCGGCUAACUCCGUG